rnacentral:lncRNA from 1 species
AAAAAGUCGCUGUCCCUUCUCACCUAUAACCCCACCUGCUCACAGAUCGUUGAGGGAAACAGACCAGGAAGCAGAUCAGCAGCUCGGGCUCUGUGCACACAGACCUAGGAUCGACAAUUGGAGCUUCACAGACAAGAUACUGAAAAGAAAGAGGUCACCAGACCAGGAGGAAAGGAACAGCAUUCAGGCAGAGAGACAGUUGGAGGCAAAAUCAGGAGCAGCUUCUGGCUGAUGCCCGUGCCUCCGAGUGACUAGCAUCUACCCAGGGGCAAGAAUAGAAAACUCUACCUGCCAAGACAGCCUUCCACCCCCAAGGCACAAAGGACAGAGGAAGCUCCUGUCCCCAGC